UGAUGCCACCGUACCAGCACUAACACAAUAGAUCCUGUCAGAACUCAAAAGUAAAGCGUGCUUCGGUUAUUGUGGUACUAGGAAAACUUCUCAUGUUGCAUCUC
ncrna:Nicotiana tabacum cultivar TN90 Ntab-TN90_scaffold1637, whole genome shotgun sequence